CUGUAACAAUACAUUGAAGACAGAGAAUCCCUUGGUGCUCAUAGAUGAGGUAUGCUAUACACAGAUACUGUAACAAUACAUUGAAGACAGAGAAUCCCUUGGUGCUCAUAGAUGAGGUAUGCUAUACACAGAUACUGUAACAAUACAUUGAAGACAGAGAAUCC